GAAAAAGGAAACAGUCAAGGUGCUGUAGAAAAAAUAAGCGAAAUUUUGAGGGAUGUAAACAUAAUUCAACCCAGAAUCAAUGAGUUUUCGUUUUAGUUUUCGCAGAGGAACGAAUAUGAGAAUUGAUACAAAGAAUAGGAAAAUAAAGUCCUUGAGAAAGCAAAACAGCAGCUGUUCAUCAUUAGGCAUCGACUUGCUUUCCUUAUCCAAUAUUUAAGGAAGAAUUCCCAGUCCCAGUCUCAGGGUUGGGAAUAAAUUAUUUAUAAAAUGGCAAGACAAGUUAAUACCCUCUUUCUUGAACAAUGGUUGAGGACUUGCAGUGGUGGUAUUAGCCACACUGUUUCUGGGCAUUCUUCUUAUCCUGGGUCUUCAUCUUCAUCUGCUCGUGCCAUUAUUCAAGCAUGGUCUGAGCUUAGAGAUUCACUUCAGAACCAAACAUUUGAUCCCUAUAUACUCCAACCUUUGAAAACCCUCUUUAACUCCCAAACCUCUCUCCAUGUUGCUGACCCUCAAGCCAAACUUCUUCUGUCUGUACUCUCCUCCCAAAGUUUCGAUCUUCCUUCAGAAUCAUAUCCUAUCUUGCUCAGGCUUCUUUAUAUUUGGGUCAGGAAGUCUGCUAGGCCAUCAACUGUGCUCAUUGACUCAGCUGUGGAUGUCCUUUCUCGUGUAUUUACUACUGAAUUUGGUUUGAAGAAAAGCGCUUCUUUUCUUGCUGAAGGUUUUCUUCUUUUAGGGGCCAUUUCAUUUGUGCCUCUUGUAUCUGAAAGCUCGAAAUUAGUGUGCUUGGAGUUGCUUUGUAGGCUGUUAGAAGAAGAUCACCAAUUCGUUAGAACAUGGGAAGAAAUUAUCCCGGAUGUGCUGGCAGGGAUUGGAUAUGCAUUAUCUUCUUCUCUGGACGUUCAUUUUGUUAGAGUUUUGGAUUCUUUGUUGGGAAUUUGGGGAAAGGAAUAUGGGCCUCCUAGUACAGUUCCUACUGCACUCAUGAUCUUGCAUAUGGUUGAAUGGGUUGUGUCUGGUUUCAUUAAAUCACGUUCUUUUAAAAAAAUUCCAGCUUUUUCACAGUGGACAUUUGGAGCUCCAAGGGCAAGCUAUCUUCCAUUUGCUCUUGUUAUGGUUGCAGCUGGAGUAUUGAGAGCUAGUAGAUAUGCAGCUAGUGGCCAAGGGUUGGAGAUUGUUUCCACACUAAGGAUUUCUGCAGAAAAUGGAAUAGUCUCUAUAGCACAAAGUUUUGUUUCUAAAACUAAAGAGUUUGUAAACUCAGACAGUGAUCCCAUGGACAGUCUUCUUUUACAGUGUAUAUCACUAGCCUUGGCUCGAAGUGGUGCAAUAUGUUUCAGUGCCCCUGUGCUUGUGUGCCUGGCUUCAGCCUUGUUAAGAGAAAUCUUUCCCUUAAGGCACUUAUACAUGCAGAUUCUUCAGUUCCUCCAUAGCAUUGGGUCUGAAUUGGGGCUUAAUGAGAUUAAAAAACAUCUAGACAGUGUUCUUUUUAAGGAAGCAGGUGCCAUAACUGGUGUUUUCUGCAAUCAGUAUGUCUCAGCAGAUGAGGAGAGCAAAAGUUUAGUGGAGAGUUUUAUAUGGGACUACUGUCAGGAUGUCUACUCUGGUCACCGACAGGUUGCUUUGUUCCUUCGUGGCAGAAAGGAUGAGCUGCUAGCGGAUUUGGAGAAAAUUGCAGAGUCUGCUUUUCUUAUGGUUGUGGUUUUUGCUCUGGCUGUAACAAAGCACAGACUAAAUUCAAACCUAUCUCAAGAAAUGCAGAGGGAGAAAGCAGUGCAGAUAUUAGUUUCUUUCUCUUGCUUAGAGUAUUUUCGACGUAUGCAUUUGCCAGAAUAUAUGGAUACCAUUCGAAAGGUUGUUGCAUGUGUUCAGGAAAAUGAGGCUGCCUGCGUCUCUUUUGUGGAAUCAGUGCCCUCCUAUGUUGACUUGACCACUUGGCAAGACUUUUCUUCUGAGCAGAAAAUGGAAUAUGAAUGGUCCAAGGAUGAGGUGCAAACUGCUCGUGUUUUGUUUUAUGUGCGGGUUAUUCCAACUUGCAUUGAACAAUUGCCUGCUCGUGAAUUUAGGAUGGUGGUUGCUCCAACUAUGUUUUUAUAUAUGGGACAUCCAAACGGAAAAGUAGCUCGAGCCUCACAUUCUAUGUUUGUGGCAUUCAUGUCUUCAGGAAAAGACUCAGAGGAUGAAAGAGUGUUGCUAAAGGAGCAACUUGUUUUCUAUUACAUGCAAAGAUCUUUAGAGGGAUUUCCUGGCAUUACUCCUUUUGAGGGUAUGGCUUCAGGAGUUGUAGCCUUGGUUCGACACCUUCCUGCUGGUAGCCCGGCAAUAUUUUAUUGCAUUAACUGUCUUGUUGAUAACGCUAAUAAGCUCUGCAGUGAUGCUUCCACUUUAAAAGCUGAGGAUUGGAAGAACUGGCAAGGAGGCCUGGAGCCUUGUAAAAAAAUCCUAGAGCUGCUUUUGCGUCUUAUUUCCCUUGUUGAUAUACAGGUCCUACCAGCUCUAAUGAAGUCGUUGGCACAACUCACUGUCCAACUACCAAAAACUGGCCAGAUCAUGGUUCUUAAUGAGUUAUAUGCCCAGGUCGCUGAAUCUGAUGAUGUCACACGUAAACCCACUUUAGUUUCAUGGCUGCAGUCAUUGUCUUACCUUUCUUCUCAAGCUAAAAGUGAGGUUGUGACUUCCAAAGGGAGGGAAAGCGAAGAAAGCUCUGCUUCUCCAGGGGCGACAGAACCAUUAGACUCGGAUAAAAUAAAUGCUCGUCUUUGAGACAUCUAGGUGCAGUUCUUGAUAAAUGACAUAGCUAAUUCUCCAAGAGAUUGCCAGAAUAUGUGCAGGUUGCCAAAGAACUGAUGAUAUCACUUGCAAACUAACUUUGGUUUCAUGACUGCAGUCAUUGUCUUAUCUUUACUCUCAAGCAAAAAGUGGGGGAACUGAACUCCAACGGGAGGAGAAGCAAAAAGAACAAUGCUUCUGCAGGGCAUACAGACCCAUUAAACUGGGAUAAAUUAACAUCUCUGAGACAUCUAGGUUUCUUUGAUUUUGCUCAAAUUUGGGAAAUAUGGUUUUCAGGUAUUCAGGCUUGAGGGUUAAGAUGGGUUUUUGUUAUUUUGAUUCUUGGGGGAUAUUUGGGAUAAGGAAUCUCAGUGAGAUGAGUUUGAUUUGCAGAGGAAAAAAGCAAGGAUUUUGCAUUGUAAGUUGUUUUAUUAGUGAGAAAAUCCGGGUUUGGUUAGUGAGAGGGCUGUUUUUAUUUAUUAAUUAAUUAUAAAAGUGGAAUAUUUUUCCGGAAAAAAGGAAUAAAAAAGCAGGGAAUACAUACAAAUAGAAAGAGAAAGAAAUGUUAAGCUUCCUUAGGUAAUGGUUUGACUGUUUGAGACUUGGAAUCAAGAGGGGAAGGGUAUAGAAAGUGAACGUUGGAAAGAAGGAAAGAGAAGCUAUCUGCAGAUGAGGAACAACAGAUGAAGAUGACGUUGCAGCUUGGUAUGGUGGAAAAAAUGGUGACUGGGGCAUUGACAAAGGGAUCUAGAAGUUUACAGAAGGAAUCUGUGUUUGUGGACUAUAAUAUUUAUUUAUUAUUUUUUUUAACUUUCGUACUUAAAAAUAUGUUAUUUGAGAAAAAUAUAAUUGCCCAAUCACUGAAUGACUCAUCAUCUAUACUGUGGAAUUUAAAUUUCGAUGGCAUGCUUUUUUGGCUCGGGGCACAUUAUUGGUCAUGGUUAAUGGUAUUACUGGGGCACUUUAGCAUAUGUUUUUAUAGAUGAGUUACUAUAUUGUACAUUUUUAUAUUUUUAGAGGAUCAGAGCUGAUCAUGGAACCUUGAACCUCUGCUAGACUGGUAGCAAUCACUAGGAACUUGGGUUGUACUUUUUUGUAACAUUUAGUAAAUACUUAUUAAAUC